GAAGAAUUAGUUUAAUAAAAAAACUUUAAUUUGUCAAAUUAACAAUACUAUAAAGUAUUCUUUU
rnacentral:tRNA from 1 species